rnacentral:rRNA from 1 species
AUGAUUUGAUUAUUAAAGUUCCAACGGUAUAAGAUGAGCAUGCGUCCCAUUAGUUAGUUGGUAAGGCAACGGCUUACCAAGACAAUGAUGGGUAGGGGUCCUGAGAGGGAGAUCCCCCACACUGGUACUGAGACACGGACCAGACUCCUACGGGAGGCAGCAGUGAGGAAUAUUGGUCAAUGGGCGCAAGCCUGAACCAGCCAUGCCGCGUGCAGGAAGACGGUCCUAUGGAUUGUAAACUGCUUUUAUACAGGAAGAAACCCUCCCACGUGUGGGAGCUUGACGGUACUGUAGGAAUAAGGAUCGGCUAACUCCGUG